rnacentral:lncRNA from 1 species
GCCUUUUGCCUCCUGCCAUGAUUCUGAGGCCUCCCCAGCCACGUGGAAAUUUCAUUGCAUCUCUAACUAUGAAGCAUACAGUGCCCAAAACAGAAUGUCAUGGGAGAGGGGAUUCAGCCAAAACAGGAGAACAAGCAGCAUAUGGGUCA